rnacentral:rRNA from 1 species
GAUGAACGCUAGCGGCAGGCUUAACACAUGCAAGUCGAGGGGUAUAGUUCUUCGGAGCUAGAGACCGGCGCACGGGUGCGUAACGCGUAUGCAAUCUACCUUUUGCAGAGGGAUAGCCCAGAGAAAUUUGGAUUAAUACCUCAUGGUAUGUGAGAAUGGCAUCAUUUUCACAUUAAAGUCACAACGGCAAAAGAUGAGCAUGCGUCCCAUUAGCUAGUUGGUAAGGUAACGGCUUACCAAGGCAACGAUGGGUAGGGGUCCUGAGAGGGGGAUCCCCCACACUGGUACUGAGACACGGACCAGACUCCUACGGGAGGCAGCAGUGAGGAAUAUUGGACAAUGGGCGUAAGCCUGAUCCAGCCAUGCCGCGUGCAGGAUGACGGUCCUAUGGAUUGUAAACUGCUUUUGUACAGGAAGAAACACUGGUUCGUGAACCAGCUUGACGGUACUGUAAGAAUAAGGAUCGGCUAACUCCGUGCCAGCCGCCGCUGUAACAC